rnacentral:rRNA from 1 species
GCUUGCUCCUCCUGAUUCAGCGGCGGACGGGUGAGUAACACGUGGGCAACCUGCCCUGUAGAUUGGGAUAACUCCGGGAAACCGGGGCUAAUACCGAAUAAUCCACCGGACCUCAUGGUCUGGUGUUGAAAGACGGCAUCUCGCUGUCACUACAGGAUGGGCCCGCGGCGCAUUAGCUAGUUGGUGAGGUAACGGCUCACCAAGGCCACGAUGCGCAGCCGACCUGAGAGGGUGAUCGGCCACACUGGGACUGAGACACGGCCCAGACUCCUACGGGAGGCAGCAGUAGGGAAUCUUCCACAAUGGACGAAAGUCUGAUGGAGCAACGCCGCGUGAGUGAAGAAGGUUCUCGGAUCGUAAAACUCUGUUGUGAGGGAAGAACAAGUACCGGAGUAACUGCCGGUACCUUGACGGUACCUCAUUAGAAAGCCACGGCUAACUACGUGCCAGCAGCCGCGGUAAUACGUAGGUGGCAAGCGUUGUCCGGAAUCAUUGGGCGUAAAGCGCGCGCAGGCGGUCCCUUAAGUCUGAUGUGAAAGCCCACGGCUCAACCGUGGAGGGUCAUUGGAAACUGGGGGACUUGAGUGCAGAAGAGGAAAGCGGAAUUCCAAGUGUAGCGGUGAAAUGCGUAGAGAUUUGGAGGAACACCAGUGGCGAAGGCGGCUUUCUGGUCUGUAACUGACGCUGAGGCGCGAAAGCG